ACUAACUGGAGGACCGAACCGACUAAUGUUGAAAAAUUAGCGGAUGACCUGUGGCUGGGGGUGAAAGGCCAAUCAAACCGGGAGAUAGCUGGUUCUCCCCGAAAGCUAUUUAGGUAGCGCCUCGUGAAUUCAUCUCCGGGGGUAGAGCACUGUUUCGGCUAGGGGGCCAUCCCGGCUUACCAACCCGAUGCAAACUGCGAAUACCGGAGAAUGUUAUCACGGGAGACACACGGCGGGUGCUAACGUCCGUCGUGAAGAGGGAAACAACCCAGACCGCCAGCUAAGGUCCCAAAGUCAUGGUUAAGUGGGAAACGAUGUGGGAAGGCCCAGACAGCCAGGAUGUUGGCUUAGAAGCAGCCAUCAUUUAAAGAAAGCGUAAUAGCUCACUGGUCGAGUCGGCCUGCGCGGAAGAUGUAACGGGGCUAAACCAUGCACCGAAGCUGCGGCAGCGAACGUAUCACCCAAGACAACUUUACGGAGUUGACGAUUGACGGAGCGAAGCGACGUCAAAGCGUUCAUUAAAGUCGAGUUGGCUUAGGGAUACGUUCGUUGGGUAGGGGAGCGUUCUGUAAGCCUGUGAAGGUGUGUCGUGAGGCAUGCUGGAGGUAUCAGAAGUGCGAAUGCUGACAUAAGUAACGAUAAAGCGGGUGAAAAGCCCGCUCGCCGGAAGACCAAGGGUUCCUGUCCAACGUUAAUCGGGGCAGGGUGAGUCGACCCCUAAGGCGAGGCCGAAAGGCGUAGUCGAUGGGAAACGGGUUAAUAUUCCCGUACUUGGUGUUACUGCGAAGGGGGGACGGAGAAGGCUAUGUUGGCCGGGCGACGGUUGUCCCGGUUUAAGCGUGUAGGUGUGUGUUCCAGGUAAAUCCGGUUCACUUUAACACUGAGGCGUGACGACGAGGCACUACGGUGCUGAAGCAACAAAUGCCCUGCUUCCAGGAAAA
rnacentral:rRNA from 1 species